AGAUGCUGCAGAAAUGGUGAAAGGAGGCAAAAGAGGCUGCUCUAUGAGGACUGUGCGAGAAAUGUCAGACUCAGACAUAGAAAAUCUCAUUGCCACAAUGUGGUGUCAUCGUCCUGCUAGGAAUAUUGGCUGAAAGUAUUGUAUUUUGGAUGUCCAGUUUGUUGUCUAAACAACCAGGCUAACUUUAAGCUCAAUAAAAUGACAACACAGGAACUAUGAACUUACAUUAGUGUUAUGAGCUUGUUAACAUAAAACCCAAUUCAUUUUGAUUAAUUCAUAUUACUUUAAUAAAAAGUAAUGUUUAAUAAACUAAUGGAAAAGUAUAA